rnacentral:rRNA from 1 species
GGUUAAGCGACUAAGCGUACACGGUGGAUGCCUAGGCAAUCAGAGGCGAUGAAGGACGUGCUAAUCUGCGAAAAGCGUCGGUAAGGUGAUAUGAACCGCUAUAGCCGACGAUGUCCGAAUGGGGAAACCCAGUGCAAUUCGUUGCACUAUCGUUUGAUGAAUCCAUAGUCAAACGAGGCGAACCGAGGGAACUGAAACAUCUCAGUACCUCGAGGAAAAGAAAUCAACCGAGAUUCCCCUAGUAGCGGCGAGCGAACGGGGAGCAGCCCAGAGUCUUAAUCAGCAUCAGCAUCAGGAGAACGGUCUGGAAAGUCCGGCAGUAAAGGGUGAUAGCCCCGUAUCCGAAGGUGUUGGUGUUGUGAACUCGACGAGUAGGGCGGGACACGUGUUAUCCUGUCUGAAUAUGGGGGGACCAUCCUCCAAGGCUAAAUACUCCUGAUUGACCGAUAGUGAACCAGUACCGUGAGGGAAAGGCGAAAAGAACCCCGGCGAGGGGAGUGAAAUAGAACCUGAAACCGUGUACGUACAAGCAGUGGGAGCACCUUUUAGGUGUGACUGCGUACCUUUUGUAUAAUGGGUCAGCGACUUAUAUUCUGUAGCAAGGUUAACCGUAUAGGGGAGCCGUAGGGAAACCGAGUCUUAACUGGGCGAAUAAGUUGCAGGGUAUAGACCCGAAACCCGGUGAUCUAGCCAUGGGCAGGUUGAAGGUUGGGUAACACUAACUGGAGGACCGAACCGACUAAUGUUGAAAAAUUAGCGGAUGACUUGUGGCUGGGGGUGAAAGGCCAAUCAAACCGGGAGAUAGCUGGUUCUCCCCGAAAGCUAUUUAGGUAGCGCCUCGUGAACUCAUCUUCGGGGGUAGAGCACUGUUUCGGCUAGGGGGUCAUCCCGACUUACCAACCCGAUGCAAACUACGAAUACCGAAGAAUGUUAUCACGGGAGACACACGGCGGGUGCUAACGUUCGUCGUGAAGAGGGAAACAACCCAGACCGCCAGCUAAGGUCCCAAAGUCAUGGUUAAGUGGGAAACGAAGUGGGAAGGCUCAGACAGCCAGGAUGUUGGCUUAGAAGCAGCCAUCAUUUAAAGAAAGCGUAAUAGCUCACUGGUCGAGUCGGCCUGCGCGGAAGAUGUAACGGGGCUAAACCAUGCACCGAAGCUGCGGCAGCGACAUGUAAAUGUUGUUGGGUAGGGGAGCGUUCUGUAAGCCUGUGAAGGUGUGCUGUGAGGCAUGCUGGAGGUAUCAGAAGUGCGAAUGCUGACAUAAGUAACGAUAAUGCGGGUGAAAAACCCGCACGCCGGAAGACCAAGGGUUCCUGUCCAACGUUAAUCGGGGCAGGGUGAGUCGACCCCUAAGGCGAGGCAGAAAUGCGUAGUCGAUGGGAAACAGGUUAAUAUUCCUGUACUGGUGAUAAUUGCGAUGGGGGGACGGAGAAGGCUAGGCUGGCCGGGCGACGGUUGUCCCGGUUUAAGGAUGUAGGCAGGUGAAUUAGGCAAAUCCGGUUCACUACAUGCUGAGGUCUGAUGACGAGUCACUACGGUGGCGAAGUAGCUCAUGCCCCGCUUCCAGGAAAAGCCUCUAAGCUCUAGAUUAUCAUUAAUCGUACCCCAAACCGACACAGGUGGUCAGGUAGAGAAUACUCAGGCGCUUGAGAGAACUCGGGUGAAGGAACUAGGCAAAAUGGUGCCGUAACUUCGGGAGAAGGCACGCUGGCGCUAGGUGAAGUCCCUCGCGGAUGGAGCUGAAGCCAGUCGCAGAUACCAGCUGGCUGCAACUGUUUAUUAAAAACACAGCACUGUGCAAACACGAAAGUGGACGUAUACGGUGUGACGCCUGCCCGGUGCUGGAAGGUUAAUUGAUGGGGUUAUCCGUAAGGAGAAGCUCUUGAUCGAAGCCCCAGUAAACGGCGGCCGUAACUAUAACGGUCCUAAGGUAGCGAAAUUCCUUGUCGGGUAAGUUCCGACCUGCACGAAUGGCGUAAUGAUGGCCAGGCUGUCUCCACCCGAGACUCAGUGAAAUUGAACUCGCUGUGAAGAUGCAGUGUACCCGCGGCAAGACGGAAAGACCCCGUGAACCUUUACUAUAGCUUGACACUGAACAUUGAGCCUUGAUGUGUAGGAUAGGUGGGAGGCUUUGAAGUGUGGACGCCAGUCUGCAUGGAGCCAACCUUGAAAUACCACCCUUUAAUGUUUGAUGUUCUAACGUGGCCCCAUAAUCUGGGGUGCGGACAGUGUCUGGUGGGUAGUUUGACUGGGGCGGUCUCCUCCCAAAGAGUAACGGAGGAGCACGAAGGUUGGCUAAGCAUGGUCGGACAUCAUGCGGUUAGUGCAAAGGCAUAAGCCAGCUUGACUGCGAGAGUGACGGCUCGAGCAGGUACGAAAGUAGGUCUUAGUGAUCCGGUGGUUCUGAAUGGAAGGGCCAUCGCUCAACGGAUAAAAGGUACUCCGGGGAUAACAGGCUGAUACCGCCCAAGAGUUCAUAUCGACGGCGGUGUUUGGCACCUCGAUGUCGGCUCAUCACAUCCUGGGGCUGAAGUAGGUCCCAAGGGUAUGGCUGUUCGCCAUUUAAAGUGGUACGCGAGCUGGGUUUAGAACGUCGUGAGACAGUUCGGUCCCUAUCUGCCGUGGGCGUUGGAAGAUUGAAAGGGGCUGCUCCUAGUACGAGAGGACCGGAGUGGACGCACCACUGGUGUUCGGGUUGUCAUGCCAAUGGCACUGCCCGGUAGCUAAGUGCGGAAGAGAUAACCGCUGAAAGCAUCUAAGCGGGAAACUUGCCUUGAGAUGAGUCUUCCCUGACUCUUUAAGGGUCCUAAAGGAACGUUUAAGACUAAGACGUUGAUAGGCUGGGUGUGUAAGCGUAGCGAUACGUUGAGCUAACCAGUACUAAUGAACCGUGAGGCUUAACCUG